CCCUCUUUAUUUUCCCCAAAACAUUUCCCUCUCAUUUUUUUUCCAAUUAGAGAGAGUGGGAGGUAUUCUCCAUCCAUUGAUUACAAGAGGUACGCCGGCCAUUGAUUACAGGAGGUACGCCGUCCACUGAUAGAACUCCGGCAACACAUUGAUAUGAGAUACGUCGGCUUCUAGCUCCGAGAUUCUCGAAUGACUCCAUAAGUUGCCGGAGAACAAGGAGUGUGCAGAUUGCAAAGCCAAAGGUCCUCGAUGGGCAAGCGUGAAUCUUAGGAUCUUCGUAUGCAUGCAAUGCUUUGGGAUCCUCAGAAGUCUAGGUGUACACAUAUUGAAGG